rnacentral:rRNA from 1 species
AAAUUGAAGAGUUUGAUCAUGGCUCAGAUUGAACGCUGGCGGCAGGCCUAACACAUGCAAGUCGAACGGUAACAGGAAGCAGCUUGCUGUUUCGCUGACGAGUGGCGGACGGGUGAGUAAUGUCUGGGAAACUGCCUGAUGGAGGGGGAUAACUACUGGAAACGGUGGCUAAUACCGCAUAACGUCGCAAGACCAAAGA